AAUAUUAAAUAUUUAAUAAUCCUAAUGUAAUUAUUAAAUAUCGAGUCAGGUUGAGUCUUUGAGUCAACACGAACCUUCUUAACAUGGUGUUGAGUUUUCCAACCCUCAAUCCUGCGGUGAAUCAGUGGCUCCCAUGGCAGAUGACUAGUUUCAUCUUCACAACAUUCAUGUGAAUGCAUGUCUGUUUGGGUUGGCUGUGGAGCAGAGAACAUGCCCAAGAAUGCCUAGCCCCACUGAUUCAAUUGAAAAUGACAUAGUUUGCCUGUUGAUUCUUAAUACCUAUUAGAACUAAUUUCCCCCUAAUUUUAAUUAACAAAGCCCACUGUUAGUUGUUAAUACUUGUAAGUUGGCAUAAGUUGGCAACUUACAAGUAUUAAUUUCCUUUCCUAAUUUUGUUGUAUGAAUUACUUUGGAUUAAUUGGGAUUAUCUUGCAUUGUGAAAAUCUUAAUGAGAUACUUGCCUUGACCUGUAUUGUGAACUUGAUGAAUUCUUGAUUAUACUUGCCUGAAAGUCUUUUUUUUUUUUUUUUUUUAAAUUUUAAAGGUAAUGUCUUUCUGAAUGUCCAUCAUUGGGUGCAUGUUAUGUUCCCUAUAACUUCAUAAGACCAGAGCAUUGACAUGCAAGUUAUAUGGUAAGAGGAGACCCUUUAAAUGGUUCUGUGUACGUCUGUAACUUACCUCCUGGAACUGCUGAGAGUAUGCUGGCUGAUUUUUUUGGCACCAUAGGGUUGCUAAAGGUGAUGACUUGACUUGUAGCCGAUUCUACAGGAUAUUAAUCUUAAACCCAGAUGACUAGAGCAUGUGAAUCAACGUGCAUGGGUCUCACACUACAAGAAAAUGAAGCUUUACCGGCCCAUUUUUUACCGCAGGCACAUUUUUUAAAGAAAGCUCAGGGUCUUUGUCUUCUCUCUUCGAAAGGUUCUUUGAUGGGCAGUGUGGUGAAUGGGGCUCUGGAAUACCUUUCUAAGGAUCUUGCGAUUGCUGAGAACACCGUGCUACAAGGAAAGUGCAGCAAUGAUGCGUUUCUUUGAUCAUGAUGCAAAUCAGCAUUUAUUAUUCAUAUCAGUCCAAUUAAACUAAGUGUCAUGGCAUGCUACAAUUAACCUAUUUUAACCUUCUGACCUUACAAUUUCAUUCAAUCCACACUUGUUCACGCCUUGUAAGUUGUAACAGAGUUUCAUA